GAUGAACGCUGGCGGCGUGCCUAAUACAUGCAAGUCGAACGAGUUCUCGUUGAUGAUCGGUGCUUGCACCGAGAUUCAACAUGGAACGAGUGGCGGACGGGUGAGUAACACGUGGGUAACCUGCCCUUAAGUGGGGGAUAACAUUUGGAAACAGAUGCUAAUACCGCAUAGAUCCAAGAACCGCAUGGUUCUUGGUUGAAAGAUGGCGUAAGCUAUCGCUUUUGGAUGGACCCGCGGCGUAUUAGCUAGUUGGUGAGGUAAUGGCUCACCAAGGCGAUGAUACGUAGCCGAACUGAGAGGUUGAUCGGCCACAUUGGGACUGAGACACGGCCCAAACUCCUACGGGAGGCAGCAGUAGGGAAUCUUCCACAAUGGACGCAAGUCUGAUGGAGCAACGCCGCGUGAGUGAAGAAGGCUUUCGGGUCGUAAAACUCUGUUGUUGGAGAAGAAUGGUCGGCAGAGUAACUGUUGUCGGCGUGACGGUAUCCAACCAGAAAGCCACGGCUAACUACGUGCCAGCAGCCGCGGUAAUACGUAGGUGGCAAGCGUUAUCCGGAUUUAUUGGGCGUAAAGCGAGCGCAGGCGGUUUUUUAAGUCUGAUGUGAAAGCCCUCGGCUUAACCGAGGAAGCGCAUCGGAAACUGGGAAACUUGAGUGCAGAAGAGGACAGUGGAACUCCAUGUGUAGCGGUGAAACGCGUAGAUAUAUGGAAGAACACCAGUGGCGAAGGCGGCUGUCGGGUCUGUAACUGACGCUGAGGCUCGAAAGCAUGGGUAGCGAACAGGAUUAGAUACCCUGGUAGUCCAUGCCGUAAACGAUGAAUGCUAGGUGUUGGAGGGUUUCCGCCCUUCAGUGCCGCAGCUAACGCAUUAAGCAUUCCGCCUGGGGAGUACGACCGCAAGGUUGAAACUCAAAGGAAUUGACGGGGGCCCGCACAAGCGGUGGAGCAUGUGGUUUAAUUCGAAGCAACGCGAAGAACCUUACCAGGUCUUGACAUCUUUUGAUCACCUGAGAGAUCAGGUUUCCCCUUCGGGGGCAAAAUGACAGGUGGUGCAUGGUUGUCGUCAGCUCGUGUCGUGAGAUGUUGGGUUAAGUCCCGCAACGAGCGCAACCCUUAUGACUAGUUGCCAGCAUUUAGUUGGGCACUCUAGUAAGACUGCCGGUGACAAACCGGAGGAAGGUGGGGAUGACGUCAAAUCAUCAUGCCCCUUAUGACCUGGGCUACACACGUGCUACAAUGGAUGGUACAACGAGUUGCGAGACCGCGAGGUCAAGCUAAUCUCUUAAAGCCAUUCUCAGUUCGGACUGUAGGCUGCAACUCGCCUACACGAAGUCGGAAUCGCUAGUAAUCGCGGAUCAGCACGCCGCGGUGAAUACGUUCCCGGGCCUUGUACACACCGCCCGUCACACCAUGAGAGUUUGUAACACCCGAAGCCGGUGGCGUAACCCUUUUAGGGAGCGAGCCGUCUAAGGUGGGACAAAUGAUUAGGGUG
rnacentral:rRNA from 1 species